rnacentral:lncRNA from 1 species
GAGGCCUAGCCGAGGCGGCGGGACCCCCAAGUUUGGAAAGCUCUUUUAACGGCUAUGCGAAAGUUCUGUCCAAAGGCUGCUCACAGCCCCUGUCUGACUGGUUGUCAUGAUGAAUUGAGCUCUCUGUUACCUGCGCAUCACAACCGAUAGUAACUGUCCCUACUGAAGGCCCCAGGAGUGCUCCAGCCAGGUGUGGAAAGCUGGUCACGAUUCUAUGCUACUUGGUUCAUUUUCUACACAGCAACAGAAGAGCCCUCCUGAGAUUGCUAUUACCAUACCCGCCUGUCACCUUGCCAAGGCUGGCCAAUAGCUGAGGCUUCGAAGACCUCAGAGGACUUCUCUCAGCACUCACAGAAACCUCCUACACCCUCGGAUGGCACAAAGGGACUGUUUUCUUACUCUUAGUCUGAGUGACUGCCAAGGAAGGCAAAGGUAGAGCAACUGGAUCUCUGGCUCUCCACAUAGCUUCUGAUCUCAGACCUUACUAAAAUGCUUUCUGGGCCCAAGGACAAAGCUCACAUGAACAAAUGAUUUUGAGUCAUGAAUGAAAAAUCUUGCUCUUUCCAUAGUAAAGAAGAAUUAAGAGAUGGACAGGUAAGCAUGCACUCUUAUUUGGGAAAGGUGGUGUUGGUUUGAGAUAUAUCAUUAAGUAUAGUAAGAAUAUAUUAAGAGAAUAUUUGGAAAAAUUUAGAAACCCUCAUUAUAGUUCUCUUUGUUCUGUAAGAAGGAGCUUCUAUUCACCUCAGGGUCAAUUGCUUUUCCUAAUAGCUUGUUUUGUAAGUGAGUUAUGAGAUUUUUGUUUUCUUUUUGCUUGGGUAGUGGGGAGAAUUUCAUUGAGGAAUCACCCAAGAAAUCUGUAUUUCAUUGAUUUGGAUCAUUACCUUACUAGCCUCUUCCCUGUGAAACGCUUGCUUUGGCCU